rnacentral:rRNA from 1 species
GACCUCGGAUCAGGUAGGAUUACCCGCUGAACUUAAGCAUAUCAAUAAGCGGAGGAAAAGAAACCAACAGGGAUUGCCCUAGUAACGGCGAGUGAAGCGGCAACAGCUCAAAUCUGAAAUCUGGCUUCGGCCCGAGUUGUAAUUUGUAGAGGAAGCUUUUGGCGCGGCACCUACUGAGUCCCCUGGAACGGGGCGCCAUAGAGGGUGAGAGCCCCGUAUAGUGGGAUGCCUAGCCUGUGUAAAGCUCCUUCGACGAGUCGAGUAGUUUGGGAAUGCUGCUCAAAAUGGGAGGUAAAUUUCUUCUAAAGCUAAAUAUUGGCCAGAGACCGAUAGCGCACAAGUAGAGUGAUCGAAAGAUGAAAAGCACUUUGAAAAGAGGGUUAAACAGCACGUGAAAUUGUUGAAAGGGAAGCGCUUGUGACCAGACUUGCGCCUGGCUGAUCAUCCGGUGUUCUCACCGGUGCACUCUGCCAGGCUCAGGCCAGCAUCGGUUUUCGCGGGGGGAUAAAGGCCCAGGGAACGUAGCUCCUCCGGGAGUGUUAUAGCCCUGGGUGUCACACCCUCGUGGGGACCGAGGUUCGCGCAUCUGCAAGGAUGCUGGCGUAAUGGUCAUCAGCGAC